UACAGGGGGGGCAAGCGUUGUUCGGAAUUACUGGGCGUAAAGGGUUCGUAGGUGGCCAACUAAGUCAGACGUGAAAUCCCUCAGCUUAACUGGGGAACUGCGUCUGAGACUGGAUGGCUUGAGGGAGAUAGAGGUGAGUGGAACUUAGGGUGGAGCGGUGAAAUGCGUUGAUAUCCUAAGGAACACCAGUGGCGAAAGCGACUCACUGGGUCUCUUCUGACGCUGAGGCACGAAAGCUAGGGUAGCGAACGGG
rnacentral:rRNA from 1 species